CCUGAGCAGCUGGAAUGGGAAGCUACCGGGUUAUAUCCUCCUCCUCCAUGGUGGAUAAGUUCCAUGUGUUCAUCCUUGAAAGUGGCAUCAGCAUUCCAAAGGCACAGCAAGGUUUAAUCCAGGAAACCUCGGCUCUCAUCCAGUGCCUCCAUAUGUGAUCCUGGGCAAGUCACUCCUCUGGCUCGGGUCUGGGUUCGUGACCGCCUUUGCACUGAAAGGUGGUUGGCCUUGGCCGGAGCACUUCACCUCUGGGCCUCAGUUUUCUCAUCUAUAAAAUGCAGGUGACCUCCCUCACUUGACUGAGGAUUAGAGAGAUAUAUGAGCUCAAUAAACAUAGUUUUUAUUAUUUAUACAUCACUUUAAAGUUUGCAGAAAUGCUUUCAGAUAUGUCACUCAGGUCUCCCAAGAGCCCUGGGAGGUUGGAGGAGGAGAUGUAAUUCUUCUCCCAGCGAGGUUAAAUAGCUUGCUUACUGUGAUAGUCACUUAGCCCUGUGGUCGCACUUGAAUCUAAGAAGCCCUGCUCCUUGGGGACAACACACCAAGUCUCUUCGCCCUGACACUACCUCCUUCACUUCCUGUAGUGGCCGCGGCAGUCCCACCGUUAGGGCAUUCCUAAAUAAUAAUAGCUAAUAUUUAGAGAGCACAGCACCCACUCUGUAUCAGACACCACAUAGGAACUAUGAAUAUCUUAUGGGUGUGUGUGUGUGUGUGUUGGAUUAUCAGGAAAUGCUCUCAUGCCCUUUAAUGAAUAUUGUUAUUUUUUCUGAAAUGAUGAGGAAACUAAGGCUCAGAGAGGCUAAAUCAUUUGCUAAGGUUGCAGAGCUAGGAAGAAGCAAAUGCCUGAACCAAAGACCAUGCUCUUACCUGGUACACCAUAUUUCACAAAGAUCUGGGAUCUCCAAAGCAAAACUGAGGAAGGAUGACAUUGAGGCAGCUCAGCCUCCCUCCUCAUCAUGUUCGGCCCUUCCAUUCCCACUGCCCCUGCCCUGCAGAAGCUUGGUAUAUUUACAGGCAUUUGCCCUGGAAGCAGCCAUGGGGUAAGCUUUCUGGAGAAUCCCAAGGCUCUACAUUGAGGAAAAGGUCCCAUCUGGCCUCUCCCACCCCCCAUCCCGCUGGCUCAGCCAGGGAGACAGGAAGGAGGGGGUGGGCUCCCUUCCAGUCAGGUCCCAUGUAUAGACCCUUGUCAUCGCUGGCAGCCUUGAAUGACUUUCUUUAUCCUCCCUUCACUCCCUUGCUUCCCAGCUGUGGCCAUUUAAUAAAAUUAGCUUAAUACUUGUUCCUUCCCUGUGGGGUCUGGAGAUUGAAAUCUGCAGGUCCCACAAACCCAAUAAAACCCCUGGCAGAUCUGGCUGGAAUGAGAGUUUCCUUGGGAAGAGUGAUUAGAUUAGACAGAGCUCCUCCCCACCUGGCCCCCAAUUCUGUCCACCGCCCCCUGUGGUUUUUUUAAUGGCCACAUUGGCCCAUAAUUACCCAGCCACCACACCUGGGGGCACCCCACUCCUCCCCAGAGACCACAGGGACUGGUCUAGGACCUCUGCUACAAUAAAAAGCAUGCUAAUCAUUUCUGCAGGGAGUGUCUGCCUGCCUGGCUGGCUGGCUUUCUCUUCUUUCUGUUGACGGGACGAUCCUCAUGUCAUUUUGAGAGAUGAGCUUGAAGUCUCCAUUUUGCAGAUGAGGAAGUCAUUGUCUGAAGGAAAUUCGUGACUUGCCCAUGGUCAUGCAGCAAGUUUGUGAUACAGCUGGGCCUGGUCUGAAACCAAGGACGGUCUCUUUCUUUGUGGGGCACCAGGAGUGUCCAGCAGGGCCAGCCGUCAGCUACCUGUCACUCGGGCAGCAUCCCAGCUGCAAAGGAACCUGCUGGGGAGAUGUCUUCCCCAUCAGACAGGGACUCUCCAAGGGCAAGGUCUGUUUUUUCUCCGCAGACUUGGGAUGCCCAAGGUCAAGGGCCGUGUUUCCACCAUCAGAAUGGGAAGCUUCCCGAAGGCAAGCUCUGUGUCUCCUCCAUCGGACUGGGAAUCCUUGGAGACAGUGUUUUGAAGGGGGAGCUGCCCAGAGAAUCAAUCCCGGACAAGCGUCCAGGAGGCAGGGGAGCUGCGGAGGCACGGGAGCUGUUUCUAGGAGGAUCCCUGAGCAUCAGAAGAGGAGGCAGAAGGCAAGGGCCCAGAGAAGGCCACCAAUUGCUCCAGACUACUCUGGGCCUCACCCAUGUCCUACUGACCCUGACAACAGUUCCAGGAUCGCCAAGGGCUGAGAGAAAAUCCAGGGGUCCAGAGGCUGCACUCCCCCAGCUGGCAGUGCUGUUUCCUGCCCUGGCUCCUUCUGCAUUUACUUACCUGGUGCCCCCAUAAGCUAUAGCAGGUUAGAUGCUGUUAAUAAGGUUAUUUUCACAAGCAAUGAGGCAUAUUUGAAAAGCGGAACUGGAAGUGUGAACUCUUCGCUCCCUUCCAGGUAACGAAUCUUCAAAUCCUACAAAUGAGGUGAUAAUAAAGUGGAAGUGAGAAGUCUACACAUGCUUGGAACUGGGAGGGGUGGCAGGGCUACAGACAGGUGCAGCUGGGGGCUGGAGGAAAAAGGGCCAGAGGGCUACCUGCCCCCAUACUUUCCACAUGCUACUCAUUGGCCCCACCCACCAAAAUUGAGAAGCAAAGCCGUAGAAUGGGUAACCCCCAUUACACAGCUGGAAAAACUGAGACCCACUAGACAUGCAGCAAGUAGAGACAGGAGCCCUGGACUCAGGUCCUGGCCACGCUCAGUGAUUCAGGGAAAGACACUUCACUUCUCUGCGCCUCAGUUUCCCCACCUAUAAAAUGGGGCUAGAUAAUAAAAAAUACUUAUGCGAA